CGUGCCAGCAGCCGCGGUAAUACGAAGGGACCUAGCGUAGUUCGGAAUUACUGGGCGUAAAGCGCGCGUAGGCCGUUGAGUUAGUUAAUUGUGAAAUCCCAAAGCUUAACUUUGGAACUGCAAUUAAAACUGCUCGACUAGAGUUUGAUAGAGGAAAGCGGAAUACAUAGUGUAGAGGUGAAAUUCGUAGAUAUUAUGUAGAACACCAGUUGCGAAGGCGGCUUUCUGGAUCAACACUGACGCUGAGGCGCGAAAGUAUGGGUAGCAAAGAGGAUUAGAUACCCUCGUAGUCCAUACCAUAAACGAUGAUUGCUAGAUGUUGGAAAUUUAUUUUCAGUAUCGCAGCUAACGCAUUAAGCAAUCCGCCUGGGGAGUACGACCGCAAGGUUAAAACUCAAAUGAAUUGACGGGGACCCGCACAAGCGGUGGAGCAUGUGGUUUAAUUCGAAGAUACGCGCAGAACCUUACCAACCCUUGACAUGUCUGUCGCGAGUUUAGGAAACUAGACUUUUCGGUUCGGCCGGACAGAACACAGGUGCUGCAUGGCUGUCGUCAGCUCGUGUCGUGAGAUGUUGGGUUAAGUCCCGCAACGAGCGCAACCCCUACUUUUAGUUGCCAUCAGGUAAUGCUGGGCACUCUGAAAGAACUGCCAGUGAUAAGCUGGAGGAAGGUGGGGAUGACGUCAAGUCCUCAUGGCCCUUACGGGUUGGGCUACACACGUGCUACAAUGGUAGUGACAAUGAGAUGCAAGGUGGCGACGCUAAGCUAAACUCAAAAAUCUACCUCAGUUCGGAUUGCACUCUGCAACUCGAGUGCAUGAAGCUGGAAUCGCUAGUAAUCGUAGAUCAGCGUGCUACGGUGAAUACGUUCCCGGGUCUUGUACACACCGCCCGUC
rnacentral:rRNA from 1 species